CAGAUCUGCCAGAGGAGGGAGGUGAGCAAGCUAAAGGUGAUGAACCUCAAACUGAGAAGUAGUUGGGAUAGAAGAUAUUGAUUUUUUCAGACUGGGUUCAUUGGAGAGGAAAAGACGAGCUAGAGUGACCAUUUGUCUCGUGUGUAUUUGCUCUGAGCAGAUGCUUCCAGACUAUGGUUGUCUUCUUUGCUUUUAGAACAUAAUUGAACUUGCUACUUGCAUAUUUGUGGUAUACUUUUUAAAUCCAUAGCUUUAACGACUUGUUAGGUCGGUCCCUUCUUGUAUGCCUAUCUACUUUCUGUUUUAAGUAUGCCAUUUUCACUUAAAUUUUUUCUUUCAAAAAAAAAAAAAAAAAA
rnacentral:misc_RNA from 1 species